rfam:Actinoplanes sp. N902-109, complete genome.
AAGGUUCCGGUUCACGCCAGCGGGCAGGGCGACCCGGCGACC